rnacentral:rRNA from 1 species
UCGUAACAAGGUCUCCGUUGGUGAACCAGCGGAGGGAUCAUUACCGAGUUUACAACUCCCAAACCCCUGUGAACAUACCACUUGUUGCCUCGGCGGAUCAGCCCGCUCCCGGUAAAACGGGACGGCCCGCCAGAGGACCCCUAAACUCUGUUUCUAUAUGUAACUUCUGAGUAAAACCAUAAAUAAAUCAAAACUUUCAACAACGGAUCUCUUGGUUCUGGCAUCGAUGAAGAACGCAGCAAAAUGCGAUAAGUAAUGUGAAUUGCAGAAUUCAGUGAAUCAUCGAAUCUUUGAACGCACAUUGCGCCCGCCAGUAUUCUGGCGGGCAUGCCUGUUCGAGCGUCAUUUCAACCCUCAAGCACAGCUUGGUGUUGGGACUCGCGUUAAUUCGCGUUCCCCAAAUUGAUUGGCGGUCACGUCGAGCUUCCAUAGCGUAGUAGUAAAACCCUCGUUACUGGUAAUCGUCGCGGCCACGCCGUUAAACCCCAACUUCUGAAUGUUGACCUCGGAUCAGG